rnacentral:rRNA from 1 species
UACGGAGGGUGCAAGCGUUAUCCGGAUUUACUGGGUUUAAAGGGUGCGUAGGCGGUCUUGUAAGUCAGAGGUGAAAUCCCCCGACUCAAUUGGGGAACUGCCUUUGAUACUACAAGGCUUGAAUGAUGUGGAGGUAAGCGGAAUAUGACAUGUAGCGGUGAAAUGCAUAGAUAUGUCAUGGAACACCAAUUGCGAAGGCAGCUUACUACGCAUAUAUUGACGCUGAUGCACGAAAGCGUGGGUAGCGAACAGG